UACGUAGGGUGCAAGCGUUAUCCGGAAUUAUUGGGCGUAAAGAGCUCGUAGGCGGUUUGUCACGUCUGCUGUGAAAACUGGAGGCUCAACCUCCAGCCUGCAGUGGGUACGGGCAGACUAGAGUGCGGUAGGGGAGAUUGGAAUUCCUGGUGUAGCGGUGGAAUGCGCAGAUAUCAGGAGGAACACCGGUGGCGAAGGCGGAUCUCUGGGCCGAUACUGACGCUGAGGAGCGAAAGCGUGGGGAGCGAACAGG
rnacentral:rRNA from 1 species